CUCGGCUUCACUCUCUCAGCCUCUAAAGUCUACUGAAAACUAAUUUCUCUCAAAAUCAAACGCUAAUCAGUGUUGUUGCUACGGAUGGAGUCUUGGUGAUUUGAUUUGAUAAGAAUCAGUGGCGUCUUUCUGGUUCAGGGAUGCAGCGCAUGCAUGUGAACAAAUACUACUUUGUUUUAUGUUGGCUGAACAUUAAAAAGAGUAUCAUCACUCCUUGCGCAGGCUUAUUUCGUUUGCAGUGUGUAAACUGUAAUCAGAUCUACUGUGUGAAAUCUUAUUUGGUAAAUAAUCGUCAACUUGCAUGCCGCCCAAUUUGCUGGAUAACAAUAUUGUGCAGGUGCAUUGCUUGUUCUGCUAGGUAUGACCAUAUAUAAUAUAUUUAAUUAGUAUCAAUUAUUGAGAUUUCCAUUGAUUAAUGUAAUAUAUGACUGAAUUCUACUUCACAUCGUUCGAGACUGCAUAAGAUUCUUCUAAUUUGGUGCUUCCAUUAUGGAGUUAUUUUGCCUUUGGUGCCAACAGACGGGUUUGGAACCUGGAUUUGUCCUGUUUUGAGUUGUCUUCAUGAUCUAGCUGCUGACUGUAGUAAAAUGACAAGU